rfam:Ixodes scapularis strain Wikel colony gcontig_1107728589776, whole genome shotgun sequence.
UCAACGGCUCUUUUCAGAGCCACCAAAUCGCUGGUUUUUCGGACCC